UCCCUGGUGGCCCAGUGGUUAGGACUCAGUGCUUACACUGCUGUGGCCCAGGUUCGAUCCCUGGUUGGGGAA